CAGGUAAAAAAUUCAAAUGCAAAAAAUCCGAGCCCAGCAGCGCCCCGGAAACGGCGAAAAGCGCGGCCCCAGCGGCCUCGGCGUAGCCCCGCCCCCUCGGAAUGAAGCCCCGCCCCCUUUGGGGUUAAGCCCCGCCCCCAGUGCAUGAAACCCCUCCCCCC